rnacentral:sRNA from 1 species
CUCAUCCCUCUUGUCCUGGGCACCAAGUGUAAGCUGCCGUCACCUCUCCAUCAGCCCUAAAUACGGGUGCCCCUCUCCCACAGAACCUGUCUCCAGAGAAGAUUUUCCACGUCAUCGUGGCCCCUUGUUAUGACAAGAAGCUGGAGGCUCUUCAGGAAAGCUUUCCCCCUGCUUUGCAUGGCUCCCGGGGCGCUGACUGUGUGUUAACAUCAGGUGAAAUUGCUCAAAUCAUGGAGCAAGAACCUCUCAGUAGAGGGAGGGGCUGCCCUGAGUGAAGUAUUAAAGACACUUAAGAAAACC